rnacentral:rRNA from 1 species
AACGAACGCUGGCGGCAUGCCUAACACAUGCAAGUCGAACGAGACCUUCGGGUCUAGUGGCGCACGGGUGCGUAACGCGUGGGAACCUGCCCUUAGGUUCGGCAUAACUCAGAGAAAUUUGAGCUAAUACCGGAUGAUGUCUUCUGACCAAAGAUUUAUUGCCGUUGGAUGGGCGCGCGUUGGAUUAGCUAGUUGGUAGGGUAAAGGCCUACCAAGGGCUCGAUUCAUAGCUGGUUAGAGAGGCUGAUCAGCCACACUGGGACUGAGACACGGCCCAGACUCCUACGGGAGGCAGCAGUGGGGAAUAGUGGACAAUGGGCGAAAGCCUGAUCCAGCAAGGCCGGGUGAGUGAUGAAGGCCGGAGGGAUGUAAAGCUCUUUUACCCGAGAUGAUAAUGACAGUAGCGGGAGAAUAAGCUCCGGCUAACCCCGUG